CCAAGUGCACUUCUGUUAUCAUGUAGGUGAUUUUAUGCCAUUUCUCGUACCAAUCAGGUUAGCUUUCUAUGUUUCUUAGCUAAAGUCCAUGUCUUGUAUUUGCAUUCAUUAAUCUCUUGGUCAUAUUUUUUUAAGUCGGUAUCCUAAGGAAGUAAUUCUUUUAAACAUAUGUGAUUAUUCCUCUCAAAUGUUAUUAUUAAAAUUGAACAUUAAUCUUUAGAUUUGUACAUCUAGCAUCAUCUUAUAUCACUAUAUAAAUAUAUUAACUCUAGUUGGGACGACUUAAUACAUGUUCAUAGUAACUAAUUUGUAACAAAAAUAUAUAAUAUAACGGAUUGUAUGUUGAAUACUCCUAUAUACUACCUUCAAAAGGUGCAAAAUCUUCAUGUAACUAACAAAAAAUAAAAUAAAAGAGAGAGGUAAAAAGGACCUAGAUUCAAUAAUAUGAAUAAGUAAGUACACACAAUGGUACAAGGGGGGAAAUACAUAGAUACAUAGGGCCAUGGCGGAAUUGAACUAUGAUUAAGAAAGCAGAGACAACAGAAACACAUGAUACGAAGUUACAAACAACACAAACUUUCUUAUUCUGUUCACAACACAACAACAACAACAGUAAAAGGGACAUUAAAGGUCCUUAACCUUAAGAUGGUGAAAUAAGUUAUUUUUUAAAGACAUCUCCAGCCAACCUAGUAACCUUGUCUAACGCACCUUCUUGUUUUGGAGGGGCAGUGGCACUACCUACAUACUCAGCAGCCUUAUGAACAUUUUCCUUAGUUGCUUCUACAGCAUUCCCAGCUGCAUCAGUCACUUUCUCUUUGGCCGACUUGGCACUUGUGAGAAGCUCGCUGCUGGUUUUGUUGGGUGCUUCAGCCAUUGUAAUUUUUUUCUAAGAUACCAAAUUGCUUCACUUGUUACUGUAGAAUGUGAUACAAGAACAACAUGUAUUUAUAAUUGAAGUGCCACAUUUUUUUGGAAGAAAAUAUCUAUAAUAAUUGUGGUUGAAGGCUAUGUGGGUCUCAUUGGUCCACGUAAAUUGAUUGUUUUGCGUGUCGC
rnacentral:lncRNA from 1 species